rnacentral:rRNA from 1 species
GUAGGUGGCAAGCGUUGUCCGGAAUUAUUGGGCGUAAAGCGCGCGCAGGCGGUUCUUUAAGUCUGAUGUGAAAGCCCACGGCUCAACCGUGGAGGGUCAUUGGAAACUGGAGAACUUGAGUACAGAAGAGGAAAGCGGAAUUCCACGUGUAGCGGUGAAAUGCGUAGAGAUGUGGAGGAACACCAGUGGCGAAGGCGGCUUUCUGGUCUGUAACUGACGCUGAGGCGCGAAAGCGUGGGGAGCAAACAGGGAUUAGAUACCCUGGUAGCCCACGCCGUAAACGAUGAGUGCUAAGUGUUAGGGGGUUUCCGCCCCCUUAGUGCUGCAGCUAACGCAUUAAGCACUCCGCCUGGGGAGUACGGCCGCAAGGCUG